CUCCCCAAGCCCCACAGGCCGCACUCCUCCUUCCCCAUCCCACCCUUGUUAGCCGCCGCCACCAUUCUGCCUCCCUCCUCUCUGUCCUACAACCACACCACCGGAGGAAGCCGCCGUUCGUGGCGCCAUAUCGCUGCCGGGGUGCCGCGUAAGAGGCCAGGGGCCGCCGCCACCGCAAGCCGGCAGGAAGCCAACGGCGAGCACGCCGUCAAGAUGCCGCCAGGAGGACCUACCAUCCGGUCCAUGUCAAGCGAGGGCCGCUUGUUGCUUCGUCGUGGGAGGAGGCGCACCAUCGAGGAGCAGCAGAGGAGGAGACGAGGACCAUCGAGGAGUAGCAGGGGAGGAGACGAGGACCAUCGAGGAGCAGUAGGAGACCACCGAACUCCCUCUUCCCUUCCGGCUGCACCUUCUCCUUGAGCUCCUUCCAGUCCCUCGCUUCUCCACUCCUACUAUUCACUCUCCCUCCCAUGCUCGUCAUGUGUGCUUUCUUUUGAUUUGGUUGUGCCUGCAGGUCCAUGGACAUUGUCAGAAUGGUCAAUUUAUUCUGGCGUAUUAUUUUCAGAUAUCAUGUUUGUCCAAGCCUCCAAGAUUCAAUUAGAUAGCAUCGUCUUCUCCCCGAGCAGCAAAAUGGAAGUUAGGAAUGUCAACUCUGUUGUGUGUCAGGCUCAGCGAUGCCAGCCUCUGCCCCCUCCCCAAACGAUAUGGUCUGCUUCAGUUCACGCAGUGUCUAGGUGAAGAAUUUGUGGCCAGCAACGAAAAGAUGUCUCUUGAAAAUCUAGACAGUAGAGGAAAAAAGAUACGCCAACACUGUUCUACGAUCUGUUGCAUCUCUGUUCUCCUUGUUAAGGUUAGGUGCUCUAUUUCCUAGGAGAGGGGAGGCGGCCAAUGACAGGGAGAAGGAGCAGGCUGUCGAGGAGUGCAAGCAAAAGAGUAAGAUGUGUAUUUUUUAUUGCCUCAAAUGAUUCAGAUUAAGGGUGACAAUAUGUAUGUGUUUGGUUGGGUGGAAAAGUCCCGCUUCCGAUUACAACACUUUCGUAAGACAGUAGAAGUCGUUUGGUUCAGCCCUUCUGUUUUCUGUUACGAUGCUAUUCAAUACAGCGCUUCACUUCUGUGGAAACAUCCGAUCAUGGCUGGAUACAAAAUCCUCUCUGCCACGUAUUCGCUCGUGUCCGAACCAAACAAAACACGUAUUCUGGAAGAUAUAUCGGAAGCAGCGCUUCCCGGUCAGUGUCCUGCUCUGUAGCCAGUCUUCAGUUAUUCUAUCACAUCACAUGUGUCUAUUUGACAUCUACUUGUUUUCUGUAUAUAUGUCUUCCAUUCCAUGUAUCCUUGGGUGCUUAUAUAAAGUUUGUAUGUAAUUACUUUAUGACGCUUGACAGAUCAUCCCGAAGAAUAAUUCUGCAAAACAAUUAUUAGUCCUGAUGGAUUUUGUAUUUUAAGCUGUACAGUUCAUAACAUAUCAUUUGGAACGGAUGGAAUACAUGUCUCAGUUAACUUGAUUGAUUUGUUUGUCAGAUAAAUAGCACGGAGAACAUAUUAGUGCUAUAUGUGUGUCUAAGGUCUCCAAGAGAUGCAGUCAUAGACAGUGACUGGUCCCUGAAGUUUGGGACGUUAAGGAUAAAAGCAAGCAGUUUUCAGAAACUUUUAGUUGUGGCUCAUGCGUAAAUUUUGAAACACAAAUUUCUUAACUUGUCAAAUGUAGCAGAAAUAGUUAAGAUUUAAUCACCGCUACUUCCUGAAAUGCAGGUUGGAGCAACUGGGAAAUCAUUGACAAAUGUGGUCUCAGUUGGAGUUGGUGGUAGCUUCCUUGGACCUCUGUUUUUGCAUGCAGCUCUCCAGAUUGACCCGAAAGCAGCAGAGUCCGCCAAAGGCUGGCAACUGAGAUUGUAAGCGUGUACUUGGGGUAUGUUUCUGUAUUUCUUUUGUUGACACCUGUUACAUGUUCUUCUCGCACUUCCUAUGGAUGAUCAAAAAUAUUAAAUGUGAUCGAGCAGAGGCUUCCUUUUUGUCUUUCUGCACCAUUCAUGCAACCCUAACCAGGAAUUCUUUCAUUAUUGGAGUCUUUCAUUGUAUAUAUAACUAUAUAUUGAUGCAAGGUGGGAGAAGGAGGUGGCUGGCCUUUAUUGUGUUUUGGUGUGGUUCUCUCCUAUUUAAUGGUAGAUAUGAUGUAUAGGUUCAAGCAUGUGAUGUUUCUUUCAGUGCAUAUUUGUGCUUUACGAUGUUUGAUGCACAUAUAGUUGAACCUCUUACUCCAUGUAAUACUUUGCCAAAGAAGAAUUUAUUAAUGUUGGUGUUUUUUCUCUUUUCAGAUUUUAGCCUGGGUGCAUAAACAUACAUGCCCCACAUUAUAUUCAAAUUUCAGUGCAAGCUUAAACUGGGGAUAAAUCAUUAUGGAAGGGAAAUGAAUGAAUAACAAACUGUAUAGAUUUAUUAUCAUAUCAUUUAUUUUUGAUUGCAUGAUCUUAAUUGCUCAUCUCUGAAAAUAUUCUAGGCUCUUGCUCUUGGAAGAUUAGACUGAUGUGGUUUUGCUUUAUGAAUAAAUGGCGUGCAAACUUACUGGUUUGAUUUAGGUGUGUAGGCAGAGGAAACAAAAGAAUCAUAAUCCCAGGUUUAGGCAUGCACAUGGUCACUGAUCACAAAGUAGGUAGGAACAUGUGCAGUAUUGUGAUUUUCAGCAAGAGAAAGAGAAACAUAGUUAAUUGUACGUAUUUUAAGCUACACUAUGUGAUGUUGCUCUAUUAUAAAGGCCUUGCUUAAAUGCUUGUUUGCAACAUGUAUUGCAUUUCCAGGGAUUAUCCUUUUGCUUAUUGAGUAUUUCCUAUGUUAUAUUUCGUCCUCAGCUUGGUCACUGUAUGUGAUUAUUUACUCAUUUUGAGCCAUUUUGCAACCAAGCUUGACUUCUUUUAUUUUGCGAUCUGAGUUAUGCACACCAAAAUUAGCCCACGUAAGUUUGAACCAUAUUGAACAUGUUAGAUCACUCUCCUGUAUGUGAUGAUUUACUCUAUGGAGCCAUGUUGUGACCUAGCUUGAGUUCUUUUAUUUGCGAUCUGAGCUGCAAAAUAAAAAUAAAAAUAAAAAUAGUCCACGUAAUUCGAACCAUAUCUGAACAUUUUAGUAUUUGAAUACUGAAAUUACCAAACAUGAUCUUCACUUCGCCAUUUGUGACCCCACAGUGCUUUAACUAAGCUAGCUAUAGUAAUAUUAUGUUUUACAUGGCUAUGCAAGUUAAAGGUUCUAAUAUAGUGUACGUUUAUCAAUAUUUUGUGUUAUACUGAUUAAUAUACUUCACAUAUAAGUUUUAAGCUAAUAGCUCCUAAUAAUUGUUUCUCCGCUUUGCAGUUGCCAUUUUAGUCAUAUUUUUUCUGAGAUAAAGAAUAAUAUUGAGAUGAAUUUCCUUUCUGAUGAUGAGAUUGGGUAUGCCUAUGUUUUGUAUUUUUCAGUAUUAUUUUAUUUCAGGCUUCGCUUAGCUGAGAGAGCUAAUAGAUAAUAUGGUAAACAAUUUCUAUCAAGUGGGUGAGCUCCAUUUUUCAAGGUAAGUCAGGUGACAGCCAAAAAAAUACCAAGGAGAUGAGUCUCUUAUCAGUUGUUUUGAUCUUAUCCAGGUUCUAUUUUCUUUCAGGCCAUGAGUUACGAUGUCCUGGUUAGAGCUACUACAUUCAAAGAGUAAAUCUGUUUCAUUGUAUCUGUACAUUGUAUGAAAAAGGUGCAUCUAUUAUGCCCCGUAGAAAUUUCAGCUGAACAAUUGUGUAGACUUACGAAGCUAUCAUGACGGAUGUUAGUGAUUUCUGUAUUGGGGCCAUGUUACAUCUCUAGGGUUGAAUUAAUGGCUAGAAAUUCAGAGUUACAUAGCUGAAAACAGGGUUGCUCGAAGCAAACAAGCUGCUUAUUCAGUAUUUUUGACACUCAUGGAAAAGGUGUAUGCUCAUCCUAAAUUCCUAAUUAUUAUUAUAUCACAUAACUGAAAGUGCAUUAGACCAAUGGUGUUAUCAGAAAUAAAUAAUUUUUGCCCCAUAGCUGAACUGUGUCUUUUCUCAGUGUGUAUAUAUGUUAGAGAUGUGUAAGAUUCAGAUAUUUUUAUUCAUUUGUUAACUUUACCAAUGUAUGGCUGACAUGCUUCAUUAUGUUAUAUCACAUCUGAAGGUGCAUUAUACCUGUGGUUUAUUAGAAUGCAUAAUUUCGGUCAAAUAAUUGAGUUGUUCUUUUCUUCGGUGUAUAUACAAGUUACAGAUGUGCAUGAUUAUGUUUAUUCUCUACAUUUGGUAAAUUCACCUAUGUAUGGCUGACAUACUUCUUUAGGUUAUGUUUCUAAAGCUCCAUGCUUAAUCGUCCAGAAUGUUUCCAAGUGACUGCUUUACACAUGGGAGACUGGAUGCAUGGAGGAGUUCAGAGAAGCUGGUGUUAUGUUACAUAUGGUCUUCAAGCUGAUGUUAUGUUUCUUGCAUGGUUUGUGUAUUUCUUGCAAAAACAUAGUACAAGAAAAAGAUCUAUGCUCAUGGAGAUGGCAGAAGGGACCUACAUGUGGAACAAGAACCACUAGCGCUGACCAGUUGGGCAUCUGGAUAGUGGUAAUGAACAAAAAUUGCUUGCCCUAUAGAGUCAAUGUAAUCUACUACUAUCCCACUUGCUGAUUUUUAUAUUAUGAAACCAUAGUAUGUAUUUACACUCCUAUUGUGAGAUUGUACUAUGUAAAUUAUGGGAGGACAAUGUAGGCCUUUAUAUGCAAAUAA